rnacentral:lncRNA from 1 species
CAUGAAUAUUGAGAAGAAACUUAAUUAGAAUAGCAGGUCAGAGGCUCCUAACUGGGCAACUCAAGAUUCUGGCUUCUACUGAAGAACCAUAAAGAAAAGAUGAAAAAAAAACUAUUAAAGAAAGAUGAAAUAAUAAAACUAUUAUAUAAAGGGUGACUUACAUUUUGGAAACAACAUAUUACGUAUAAAUUUUGAAGAAUUGGAAUAAAAUUGAUUCAUUUAAAAAAAA